AAGUGCCUGGGCUGGAGGGACGGUGGCCCCACGAUGCAGCUGGGCUGACUGAGGCAGACAUUGAGUCCAGAAGAGAUGCUAGUCGCCUGGGGGGUCACCCAGCACCCUCAGAGCCCUUCACCUCUAAACCAGUGCUGUGAAAGAGUGCCAAGUGAUUAGUCUGGGAAAAGGACUGGGGCCUCCAGAGCCCGUCACAUGCACCCCACUUAGAGAUGGUGGCUGCCCCCACCUGGCCCAGGACAGCUAUCUGCUCUUGCUGCAGGUUCCUCCACAGCCAGGCACCCCAACUCCUCCCAUCACAGGCUGCCCUUCCUCGCUGCUCCCUCUCAACGCCAGGUUGUCAGGUCCUCCCAGGGGACAGUGAGAACAGAGCGCAGCCACCUCAGAGGACAUGCAGCCUACAAGACCCUGGGGAAGCUCCUCUCCUGUGGAAGCCGAGUCCUCUUCCCGAGCCUGGGUCGGCCACCCUCUGCAGCACCCACACUCAGUAGCCAGGGUGCAGGGAGGGGAAAUGGCGGGUGUUAGUCGAAGAGACAGUCUGUGGCUUAGCAAAUCAGUGUGACCUGGGGUGGGACACAGAGCCUUUCUUAGUCUCAGCCUCUAAGUUUGACUUACCUGCCAAACGGGAGUUGUGGUAUGUGACAGAAGGCUGAGAGUGUGGUGCCCGGCCCAACCAGCCACCGCGCACCUCCAUCAAUGCUGGGCUUCUCCCCUCCCCCUCUUCCGUCCUCCCUUCCUCCUUUCCUCCUCCCAAGCCUCCAGUUCAUCUCCUUCUCCUCCUCCUACUCACAUCCCGUAUGUCCCCUGUCCUCGUUGAAGCCCGAGGACAACAUCAGUGAUCACGCUCUCAGAGUGAACCAGACCUUCCUGUUUUGCUUCCCGAUGGCACCAGUUCCUCCUGAGGACAGAGCUGUCUCUGUUCCUCUGUGCCGUGGGCAGAUGGCGGGGAGUGUGUGUUCCUGCAGAAGAGCGUGCUGUCCCUGCUCCCCAGCCUCCCGCGGGCCCCUUCCUGGAAGACAUCCAGAAGGACCGGCAGCACUGCAUCAGCUUCCCAGACCACAGGAGCACUCACCACCUUCGAAAGCACGAGGCUGAGAGGAAUGACAUGGAGGGCCCCAUGGAGGUUUCCAGAGCACCAGGGACCAAGGCCCUGAGGACCGCAUUGGCUGUCAUUCAGACAUCGCAUCUGGCAGAGUGUCCUUGGCUGAAAGCGAUUGGAAACCAUUGCAGCCAUCUUUAACAGAGAGAGAUUUGGGGGAAGGAUAUUGGGGUCUCAUGGGGAUUUUGGAAGCUCGAAGGCCAUUCUGGUUGGUCAGGCUGCAAAGCACUGCUGUGGUCCUGCAGCAUAAACAUGCCGGUGUCUGCAAAGCCCCACAUCACAGCACUGCCACCACCAUGAGCUAUCCCCAAGUCACCAUGCCAUAUGCUCAGAAUACAAAACCAUGGGGCCUAGACCAAGUCACAUUUAUCUACCUUGGGACAAAAUUGGGGAAGAUAACUGUCUGGUUCUUUGGACCUUAUUAGUAGCCUAGAUCCCUGGGAAUCACACAAAAUGGGAGAUUCCCAAAGGGGAGAACCAAGCACUAAAUGAAAGACAAAUUGAAUGAUGGAUAGCAAAAGAUCAAAACAAAUAAAAACUCUCCCAAAAUGGAAAACAACUGACUAAAAUAAAUACAUAAUUAUGAAAAUAUUCCUUCAUUCAUGUCCCAUAGCAAUGUAAGCUCAUGCAUCAAUCACUGCAUGCACCACUCUUUAGCCUUUUUUUCAACUUUUAGGUUGACCUUGUAUUUUUAUCACAUUUUUGAUGCGUUCAGACUGCCAUGCUCACAUGCAUGUCGCCAGGAGAAGUAGCAAGCAGCUGAAAAUAAGGAAGAGCCCAAACCUCCUAGUGACCUUGAGAUCUCACUAUCCUUUGAUCUGAGUGUAAGUUCCUGGAAUUAUCUGGGACAGUCAAUGGUCAAGACGUCAUCUCAUGCCAGGGCUGCAGAGAUGCCAUGUUCAGACAGGGCGUUAGAGAUACCCAGCUAAGUCGUAGUGUAUUCUACUCUUCUUACACCUCUAUUUGGUAAUUCCUAUUAAAAUAUUAGCUUUGGAAGGGACCUUACCAGCAAUCCCAUUCAUUAUUGAAGACAAAAUCCAGAAGUGGGUUAUUCAAAAUUACCUCCAAGAAUGGUACACUGGCCUGGAAUAUUCUCGAACCCGUUCUGAAGCCCAUGAUAGACAUUCUAGUUCAAGUAUUAGGGCAUUGCUUCUGUCUUAAAAUGGCCCCAUUUCCUUUUUAAAGAAAAUCAUUCCACAGUUACCUGAUACAGAAAAGUAAAAUAAUUUUUUUCUGGCUCCACAGACAUUAAAUACAUGUUAAUGCAUAGUUCCUUAUUAAUAAACAAUGAAUGGUUCCCACUUAUGCAUGCAUGUGCAAACACAUGCCAAAGGGAGAAAUUAAACAGCUUCAAAUAUUUGUAUGUUUUGGUACAAAUGUGCAUAUUAGAUAUUAAAGUCAAAAUCCAGGAAGAAAAGGGUGAGAAGUUGUCGGGUAACCAUCAAUUUUAAACCAAGGGAUCUCAAAGAAACAAAGGAAAAUAAAAAUAAAAGAAACGAAACAGUAAGCUGGUCAAAUCUUGGAAAAUUUUGAUUCAAACUCCGGAUGGUUUUUGCUGGUGGGAUGACAGCAAGAGUGCACUUACCAACAAUUCAGUGGCCUCGCCAUGUGACGUGCCUUGGAUGUUAGCCAUUGUGACACAAGAAAGAGCUGAAAAGCACUGGCUGUCAGUUAUUUUCUCUUGCUUCUGCUUAAAUCCUGCCACGUGAGUGAGCCUGGGGGAGCUGGUUGGAGGAUGAGAUUUUCUGUGGACAAGAGACAAGAUAUUCUAGUUGAGUCCUCUUUGAUCAACCAGUCCUGACAGCCAGUGGGACUUGGCAGCAGAUGACAAAAGUCUAAAGGAGUAAGCCCUGCUGAGCUUAGUCCCGUUGCCUCCUUACGAACCAUAAGCUAAAUAAGUGGUUGCUCUGAGUUACUACAAAGAAAAAGCUGACACCGUAUGUGUUAGUCAGCCCUACCUUACUACAACAAAAUAUCUGAGGCAGCUACUUUAUAAAGAGAAAAAGGUUAUUUAACUCACAGUUUUGGAGGCUGAAAGUUCUCAAAGUAUGGACUUGGUGCCUGCCCCCUGGCUGCACCACCUCACGCACAGAUGGCAAUAAUGGGAACACAUGCAGGAGCAAGUGACUGAUCGAAUCCUGAACCAGGAGCAGAGAGGCAGGAAGGCUCCUCCCAGGGCAUGCCCCCAGUGACCUGAGGACCUCGAAGAGGCCCCACCUCUGCACAGUCUUCAAAAUCCAACCUCCAGUGCCUCUUGUUCUGUGGAACCUGUGUGUCCUUGCUAAUCCUGGUCCCUUCCUCGGGCUCCGUAAGACAUUGCACACGACUCCACUGCAGCCUUAGCAGCACACCCACUGUCACUACUGUUUAAAAAUGACCUGAGCAGCUGUAAGGUGACCUCCUUGAACACAGGACUGUCCGCUCCGGUUUUUCAUCCUUUGGGGAUAGCAUGCAGCCGGGCUCUGAUACCCAUGAUGAAUUAAGGAAUCAACUAACUAGACAUGCUGGAUGAACUUCAGAGAAUAAAUUUAAUGCAAUUUG